rnacentral:tRNA from 2 species
GCGGGUGUAGCUCAAUGGUAGAGCAGAAGCCUUCCAAGCUUACUACGGGGGUUCGAUUCCCCUCACCCGCUCCA